rnacentral:lncRNA from 1 species
AGGAUUUCUAUGUUACUCUGAACGUCGAGGCAGGUAUGUCGCGGGAAAUUUUGUUUAGCAUUAAUCUUAUAAAUCUCCUUUGUUCAUGUAAGUUUGAAAGGUGUGUUAGUGAUGCUGAUGACACUGAACAAAAUUAAUCUUUUAACUCUACCUUCUUUAUGUAAGUUUGAAAGGUGUGUUGUUAGUGAUGCUGAUGAAACUGAACUAUCAGAAUUCUAUUGUUUCUUCCUUGUAUUAUGUUAUGUUAAAACUCUGCAAUGUCGCUAAAAAAACUAUAUCAGGC